rnacentral:rRNA from 1 species
GACGAACGCUGGCGGCGGGCUUAACACAUGCAAGUCGAACGGAAAGGCCCUGCUUUUGUGCGGUGCUCGAGUGGCGAACGGGUGAGUAACACGUAAGUAACCUGCCCUUGACUUUGGGAUAACUUCAGGAAACUGGGGCUAAUACCGGAUAGGAGCUCCUGCUGCAUGGUGGGGGUUGGAAAGUUUCGGCGGUUGGGGAUGGACUCGCGGCUUAUCAGCUUGUUGGGGUGGUAGUGGCUUACCAAGGCUUUGACGGGUAGCCGGCCUGGGAGGGCGAGCGGCCCCACUAGGACUGAGAUACGACACAGCCCCAUACGGGAGGCAGCGGUGGAGUAUAUUACACAAUGGGAGGAAGGAUGGUGCAGCGACGCCACGCGGGGGAAAACGGCCUGCGGGUUGUAUUGCGAAUUCGUUUGUGACGAAGCGUGAGUGACGGUAAUGGGUGAAGAAGCCCCGGCUAACUACGUG